GCGUUGCCAAAUGGAUAUUUACAACAUGCACUCUUGCUGAUCCUCUGCUUUCCUAGUGCUUUCUAAGUGUUUUAUACCUCUUUUACCCUUUGCUUUUGAUUUUGUCGUCCAUUGAAAUCCUGUAAAGAGAAAAGAACACCUCUAUCAAGUCUUUCUAAAUCCCAGUGUUCUUCCUUUAUCACUUGGUGAGAUACUUCUUUUGUAAUAUUUAUUAAUUUUUCUUGGUGUAGAUACAUAAGCAUAUAGCUUAUCUGCCCUUCUAGAUUGUAAGUUCAUCAAGAACAGGGAACAUGUGCAUUUUUACUAUUCACCUUAAGUAGAAUAUUUAGAAGCCAGUAUUACGUCAACUUUUAUUUCUGAUUUUUUAUUUUGUUUAUUAUGGAUUUUCUACUCGGUGGCCCCCUGUAUUUAACUUGAUCUUUAAGGUUUUUUCUUUUGUAUAUUUUUACUGAUAUUGACUCACUACUGAUUUUCUUCUUUAUAUGAUUGGAUUUAUAUUUGGGACCCCCAUCCAAGGUACAUUGUCAGUUGGUUUUUUGUGAUUUACAUCAGAGUUGUUAGAUGUGUUUUGUUUUUCUGAUUUUCAAUUAAUAAAUGUCUAGUAUACAAAAUGUAGAAGUUAUUUUAAUAAAGCCCCUGUAGAAUCACAACGUAUUAAAAACUGCUAUGUUUGGUACAUAGUCUAAUGUUUUUUUAAGUUGAAUUCAUACUGUAUUUUCAGUUUUGAGUUUUUCUUUUAACUUAAUAUGUCAGUUAUUUUCAUGUAUUACCAAAAAAUUUUGUAUUUUAGGUGAUUUUAAUUUUUUGUCAUUUUUUGUAUUUUCCACAGAUAACAUGUGUUGCUUUCGUAACUGAAAGAGAAACAAUAAAUGCUCUCAAAGAAAUCUUA
rnacentral:lncRNA from 1 species